rnacentral:lncRNA from 1 species
GAGGUGAACAUCCAUAGUAUCAUACAAAUUUCUCAGCUGCCUCCUCCAAAACUGGCAUCAGCAGAAGAGCAAAAGAUGCUGGUCUUGCUAUGUUGCCCAGGGUAGUCUCAAACUCUUGGCCUCAAGCGAUCAUCCUGCCUCAGCCUCCCAAAGCAGUGGAAUUACAGGUGAGAGAAAUGAGGCAUGACAGAUAACUUGUAAGUUCUCGAAGUUUACAAUGGUAAAGCCAGGCCGGGUGCAGUGGCAUGCACCUGUAAUCACAGCAACUCAUGAGAUUAAAGCAGGAGGACCUCUUGAGCCCAGGAGUUUGAGGUUUCAGUGAGCUAUGAUCAUGCCACUGCACUCCAACCUGGGCAACAGAGCAAAACCCUGUCAAUCAAUCAAGCAAGCAGACAAGCAAGGAAGCAAGCAGCAGAGCCUCUGCAUGAGCUCAUGAAUGGCUGCUGUGGAAAAUUACUGACGUCACCAGCUGAAUAACAGGCUAUCUGGAGAGUAAGCAGAUGAAACUGAUGUUAAAUUAUCAAAUGUACAAGAUUUUGGGCUCCUGCCAAAACCUUCAUUGAGAACUAAGAAGAGAAAAACUGAAAACACACAGAGCUUUUUUUAAGCUUCUGAGCCAGCAGGCUGUUCCU